rnacentral:rRNA from 1 species
GUGAGGAAUUUUCCGCAAUGGGCGAAAGCCUGGCGGAGCAAUGCCGCGUGAAGGAUGAAGGCCUAUGGGUUGUAAACUUCUUUUCUCAGAAAAGAAUUAUGACGGUAUCUGAGGAAUAAGCAUCGGCUAACUCUGUGCCAGCAGCCGCGGUAAGACAGAGGAUGCAAGCGUUAUCCGGAAUGAUUGGGCGUAAAGCGUCUGUAGGUUGUUUAAAAAGUAUUCUGUCAAAGAUUAGGGCUUAACCCUAGAUAGGCAGAAUAAACUUUUAAGCUAGAGUUUGGUAGAGGCAGAGGGAAUUCCCGGUGGAGCGGUGAAAUGCGUAGAUAUCGGGAGGAACACCAAAGGCGAAGGCACUCUGCUGGGCCAAUACUAACACUGAGAGACGAAAGCGAGGGGAGCAAAUGGGAUUAGAUACCCCGGUAGUCC